rnacentral:rRNA from 1 species
GAUGAACGCUGGCGGCGUGCCUAAUACAUGCAAGUCGAGCGAACGGACGAGAAGCUUGCGUCUCUGAUGUUAGCGGCGGACGGGUGAGUAACACGUGGAUAACCUACCUAUAAGACUGGGAUAACUUCGGGAAACCGGAGCUAAUACCGGAUAAUAUUUUGAACCGCAUGGUUCAAAAGUGAAAGACGGUCUUGCUGUCACUUAUAGAUGGAUCCGCGCUGCAUUAGCUAGUUGGUAAGGUAACGGCUUACCAAGGCAACGAUGCAUAGCCGACCUGAGAGGAUGAUCGGCCACACUGGAACUGAGACACGGUCCAGACUCCUACGGGAGGCAGCAGUAGGGAAUCUUCCGCAAUGGGCGAAAGCCUGACGGAGCAACGCCGCGUGAGUGAUGAAGGUCUUCGGAUCGUAAAACUCUGUUAUUAGGGAAGAACAUAUGUGUAAGUAACUGUGCACAUCUUGACGGUACCUAAUCAGAAAGCCACGGCUAACUACGUG